GUGGAUCUAGGGUUGAAUGACCUCCCCAGGGAACGCAGGCUUGAAGUGGAGGCUGAGAAUGCAAUCCGAGUACAGCCAUAGGCCGGUCAAAGGUAUGGAGGCGGUGUGUAGCAGGGGUGAGCGGGGUAGGAGUGGCUUGGAUGUCUGUAGUUCUAUUCUAAGGGUGCGGGAGACAUGUAACAUUUACCUUAUUCAUUUUUCGAGACAGGGUCUUGCUGUGUCACCCAGGCUUAGUGCAGUGGCGUGGCGUGUUCAUGGCUUACUGCAACCUCAAACUCCUGGACUCCGAACAGCUGGGACCAAAAGCAUGCACAGCCUCACCAGGCUAAUUUUUAAUUUUUUUUUUUUUUUUUUGUAAAGAUGGGGUCUUGCUAAGUUACCCAGGCUAGUUUGGCCUCAAGCGACCCUCUCACUUUGGCCUCCCAAAGUGCUAGGAUUAUAGGCGGAGCGCCAGUGCCUGGCUGGGACGUUUAUAAAAAGGAGCAAUGCACAAGAGGCAACAAAGGCAAGUAAAGAGGAGGCUGGUGGGCUUGCAGAAACGCCCUGCAGUACCUAUGCUGCGGUUCUCCCACUUCACUGAUAACAAAUCCUCAGUAUCCACUGAUACAAAUCCUGGGACUGCUGGGCCAGUCCCAGGAAUGACACUGGGACAGACUCCCUGGAGGUGGAUCAGAAAGCUGCAGUUUUACCAGGGGUCCUGCUGUUGAGGCAGCCGGCUCAAGGACCAAGCCCAAAUAAGACACUGAGAGGAAGGCUGCAGGCCAGGGUGCAGGAGUAAUGACCAGGAUCAGUGCUCCAACUGGCCCCACUGUGUCAUUAAAAGGCUCUGCAAUGGAAUCCAUCCUGGUCCAGGCAGGGGAGUGUGCCUCCAGCAAAGGACCAGGCGUUUCACUGCAUACACAGCAGGUGUUGCUUAGUGAAGACAAAAACCCAGAGCCAGAGGUACUGUAACAUUCUUCAUUAUGCAUAAAGUGACAGUCUGUUAGCUGAUGUGAUCCUGCAAAUGAAGGCUGUCUACCCACCAAGGGUUUCUCCCUCUGCUAGUAAAACUGAGACUUUGUCAGUGGAGGCUCAGGUAAGUCCCCACAGUGCUCAUGCCUUCCAAAACCACGCCCAUUUCCAGUGAUGAUGGUUUGUGCCACAGGCCAAGUACUGAACAUCAUGACACUCAUAGACACUCUUCACUGAAGACGUGGAUAGACCCUGGGGCCACCAUUCUCUCCUCUCUGGAGUGUUGGAGGGGCCCUGACCAGGGCAGGACCCCCAUGUCUGGAAGCAGGGUUAGCCCUGGCUCAUGGGGGACCCUGCUGGGCUUAGCCAUUGCCACCUAGGGAUCAGGCAGCCUUGUUUCUUCCUACUUUCUCCAGGAGAAGCCCCAGAGGGACACUUUUCUAAUGGUGAGAUGGAACACGGAGCACCUGCCAACAGGCCUUCAGUUAUGGUCAGAGGCCCAACCACCAGUCUGUGUUAGUACCUAAUCAAACAUUUAGAUUUAGGCUUUAGUUAUUGCCUGUUUUUACUUGAAAUUCUUGGCUUAGAAUUAUUCCCAAUGGGGCCAGGCACAGUGGCUCAUGGGAACAAAUUUAAAAUAAUCAGAUUAGCAUGUCAAAAGAUCUCACGUUAUAGAAAGUGAAGAUCUAAGACCAAAUAAAUACUGAUAAAAAAUACAGGCCAGCAGAAGCUUGGAUGAUUUAAUAAAUUAAAAUU
rnacentral:lncRNA from 1 species